CACCUCGGAGCUCAAUGGUUAAGUACUGGUGCGUAAAACCAGGAGCUCGGGUUCGAUUCCCGGCGAGGGAA
rnacentral:tRNA from 1 species